CUUUGUAGUACUGUAUCAUGGAUUACAAGACAAGACUGCUGCUUUCAGUUAUUUGGUGGGCAGGUGUUAAUGGUCAGACUCUGAGAGAAUCUGAACCAGUGGUUAAAAGGCCUGGACAAUCUCACAGACUGACCUGCACAGCCUCUGGAUUCACAUUCAGCGACUACAGGAUGGUUUGGGUCAGACAGGCUGCUGGAAAAGGACCGGAGUGGAUUGCUUAUAUCAGCAUUUCAGAUUAUAGUUAUGCUACACAUUAUUCCCAGUCAGUCCAGGGUAGAUUCACCAUCUCCAGAGAUGAUUCCAGCAGUAAACUCUAUCUGCAGAUGAACAGUUUGAAGACUGAGGACACAGCAGUUUAUUACUGUGCCCGAUGAAGC